rnacentral:rRNA from 1 species
UACAGAGGUCCCAAGCGUUGUUCGGAUUCACUGGGCGUAAAGGGUGCGUAGGUGGUGAGGUAAGUCGGAUGUGAAAGCUCGGAGCUCAACUCCGAAAUGGCAUUGGAAACUACCUUGCUCGAGGGUUGGAGGGGGGACUGGAAUACUUGGUGUAGCAGUGAAAUGCGUAGAUAUCAAGUGGAACACCAGUGGGGAAGGCGAGUCCCUGGACAACUCCUGACACUGAGGCACGAAAGCUAGGGGAGCAAACAGG